rnacentral:rRNA from 1 species
UGAGGAAUAUUGGUCAAUGGGCGAGAGCCUGAACCAGCCAAGUCGCGUGAAGGAUGAAGGUUCUAUGGAUUGUAAACUUCUUUUAUUCGAGGGUAAAGUGAGGUACGUGUACCUUAUUGCAAGUAUCGAAUGAAUAAGGACCGGCUAAUUCCGUGCCAGCAGCCGCGGUAAUACGGAAGGUCCGGGCGUUAUCCGGAUUUAUUGGGUUUAAAGGGAGCGUAGGCUGGAGAUUAAGCGUGUUGUGAAAUGCCGCGGCUCAACCGUGGCACUGCAGCGCGAACUGGUUCCUUGAGUGCGCUGAAAGUGGGCGGAAUUUGUGGUGUAGCGGUGAAAUGCUUAGAUAUCACGAAGAACUCCGAUUGCGAAGGCAGCUCACUGUAUCGCGACUGACGCUGAAGCUCGAAAGUGCGGGUAUCGAACAGGAUUAGAUACCCUGGUAGU